GAUGAACGCUGGCGGCGUGCUUAACACAUGCAAGUCGAACGGAAAGGCCCAAGCUUGCUUGGGUACUCGAGUGGCGAACGGGUGAGUAACACGUGGGUGAUCUGCCCUGCACUUCGGGAUAAGCCUGGGAAACUGGGUCUAAUACCGGAUAGGACCACAUUUUGGAUGGUGUGGUGGAAAGUUUUUCGGUGUGGGAUGAGCUCGCGGCCUAUCAGCUUGUUGGUGGGGUAAUGGCCUACCAAGGCGUCGACGGGUAGCCGGCCUGAGAGGGUGUACGGCCACAUUGGGACUGAGAUACGGCCCAGACUCCUACGGGAGGCAGCAGUCGGGAAUAUUGCACAAUGGGCGCAAGCCUGAUGCAGCGACGCCGCGUGGGGGAUGACGGCCUUCGGGUUGUAAACUCCUUUCGCUAGGGACGAAGCGUUAUGUGACGGUACCUGGAGAAGAAGCACCGGCUAACUACGUG
rnacentral:rRNA from 1 species